rnacentral:tRNA from 3 species
GUACUUAGCUCAGUUGGUUAGAGCAGACGGCUCAUAACCGUCCGGUCGUAGGUUCGAGUCCUACAGGGUACA